CAAUAAGCGGAGGAAAAGAAACUAACAAGGAUUCCCCUCUAGCUAACUGCGACUGAAGCGGGAAAAGCUCAAACUUAAAAUCUGGUGGUCUUUGGCCAUCCGAGUUGUAAUCUAGAGAAGUGUUACCCGUGUCGCGACCGUCUACAAGUCUCCUGGAAUGGAGCGUCAUAGAGGGUGAGAAUCCCGUCUUUGACACGGACUACCGAGGCUUUGUGGUGCGCUCUCAAAGAGUCGAGUUGUUUGGGAAUGCAGCUCAAAAUGGGUGGUAAAUUCCAUCUAAAGCUAAAUAUUGGCGAGAGACCGAUAGCGAACAAGUACCGUGAGGGAAAGAUGAAAAGAACUUUGGAAAGAGAGUUAAACAGUACGUGAAAUUGCUGAAAGGGAAACGCUUGAAGUCAGUCGCGUUAGCUGGAAAUCAGCCUUGCUUUUGCUGGGUGUACUUUCUGGUUGACGGGCCAGCAUCAGUUUUGACCGGUGGAAAAAGUCUGGAGGAAUGUGGCAUCUUCGGAUGUGUUAUAGCCUUUGGUCGUAUGCAUCGAUUGGGACUGAGGAACUCAGCACUUGUGCUUAGGAUGCUGGCAUAAUGGCUUUAAUCG
rnacentral:rRNA from 1 species